rnacentral:rRNA from 1 species
GACGUAGGGCGCGAGCGUUGUCCGGAUUUAUUGGGCGUAAAGAGCUCGUAGGCGGCUUGUCGCGUCGUCCGUGAAAACCCACAGCUCAACUGUGGGCUUGCGGUCGAUACGGGCAGGCUAGAGUUCGGUAGGGGAGACUGGAAUUCCUGGUGUAGCGGUGAAAUGCGCAGAUAUCAGGAGGAACACCGGUGGCGAAGGCAGGUCUCUGGGCCACUACUGACGCUGAGAAGCGAAAGCAUGGGGAGCGAACAGG